AUUUAAUUAUUAACACGAAUAUUAAAUAAAAACUCAAAUAAGUGAAGUAAAUUUAAAGCAUGUUGAUUUGAAUAUCACAUAUUAAAAAUAAAAAUAAACUAUUUCAAUAAUUACAUUAAAAUAAAGUUUUUCUUAUUUUCGUCACAUUAAUUUUUUAAAUUCAAUAAUUUUAAUUAAAAUAAUUGUUUAAAUUAAUCACUUUCAUUCAAAUUACUGUUAAUCACUAACGGAUUGUUAACUCAGCAAUUCAUCUAAUUUUUUAAAAAUAUUCAAUAAUAUUUCUUCUUUUUUUUCUCUCUCUCACGUUGACUACCACCAUUGACUAAAAUAAAGAAAAGAAAAAAUUGGAUAUUAUACUCUCUACCAUCUUCUUCCUCGUAUCAUUACCGCCUUUGUUUCUCUUGCUGAUCUUCUCAUUCCUCGCCAUCAAAGUCGUCGCCGGAAAAUAGAUCAACGAUCCCGAUUACCCGCCGGUGGAGGGCUCCCUUUUCAAUCAGCUUUUAUAUCUAAACUAUCUCUACGACUACCAAGCAGAAGCAGCUAAAGAACGAUCAACUUACAGGCUACUGGUUUUAGAACAGAGUAAAUACUUCAUCUUUCAAAUGCUCAACCUUAAACUCACAAACUUUUAACAGGUUUUGUAGAGGAAGACAAUCCUUAUUCCACAGAAGGUCAGAAAGGAACAUAUUAUUUCGAGUUCGCUAAGCCACUGAGAACCAUGGAUCAUUUACAACAGGAUGUUCAGUUCACAAUUGAUGGAUCGAGCAAGAUGUAAUCGAUGGGUCGGGUCUGGAUAUUAUACCAUCAACUGUGAGUGGGUUCCAUUGGAUAUUGCUUCAGGUGGUUCUAUGUUAAUCGAGUCUGCAUCAAGUACUGCCUGGGACACGGCCAGCGCCUUCGCUGGUAGCCCGUAAGUUGCCAGUUCUUUGGGUGCUUCCGCGUGGUAGUUGUAAAGAUAGUUUAGAUAUAAAAGCUGAUAGAAAACGGAGCCCUUCACCUGCGGGUAAUCGGGAUCGUUUUACGGCGACGGUUUUGAUGGCGAGGAAUGAGAAGAUCAACAAGAGAAACAAUGGCGGCAAUGAUAUGAGGAAGAAGAUGUUAGAGAGUACAAUAUCCAUUUUUUCUUUCUUUUGCAAGUGGUGGUAGUCAACGGAAGAGAGAGAGAAAGAAGACAUAUUAUUUAAUAUUUAAAAAAAUCAACAAUACUAACGGUAAUUUUGUCGAUUCCUAUAACUAUUGGGAUUAAAUUGAGAAAAAUAUUAGAGUGAUUAAAAUAAGGAAAAUUUUAUUUUAGAGUGUUUAUUGGUGUAAUUUAUUCCAAAAUUUAUUCCAAAAUAAUAAUUAUCUUAAAUUUUAAUAA